UACGUAGGCAGCGAGCGUUGUUCGGAGUUACUGGGCGUAAAGAGUGCGUAGGCGGUGCCCUAAGUCUGGUGUGAAAUCUCCCGGCUCAACCGGGAGGGUGCGCCGGAAACUGGGGUGCUCGAGUGUGGGAGAGGCAGGCGGAAUUCCCGGUGUAGCGGUGAAAUGCGUAGAUAUCAGGAGGAACGCCGGCGGCGAAAGCGGCUCUCUGGUCUGUUACUGACGCUGAGGCGCGAAAGCUAGGGGAGCAAACGGG
rnacentral:rRNA from 1 species